rnacentral:lncRNA from 1 species
UAAACUAAGUGGUUGAUUUUGUGUAGAUUAACAACUCAAAAAAAAAAAAACAUUUCAGGGAAAAGGUUUCAUGACAUUGUUGGCAGCGCCUAUUAUGUUGCUCCCGAAGUACUUAAGCGCAGAUCAGGCCCUGAAUCUGAUGUCUGGAGCAUUGGUGUUAUCACCUAUAUUUUACUCUGUGGAAGGCGCCCUUUCUGGGAUAGGACUGAGGACGGUAUUUUUAAGGAGGUCUUAAGGAACAAACCUGACUUCCGCCGCAAACCAUGGUCAACUAUAAGUGACAGCGCGAAAGAUUUUGUUAAAAAGUUACUUGUCAAAGACCCUCGAGCACGUCUAACUGCUGCUCAAGCCCUGUGUAUGUGUUGUGGUCCUUGCUUUUUUACACUACUUGGCAAUUUUAACCACGAUUAGAAGCUAAUCCUCUUCUGUCUCUUUUGCCUUUUGCAGCACAUGCGUGGGUUAGAGAAGGAGGGAACGCCACUGAUAUCCCUGUCGACAUUUCUGUUCUCAACAACUUACGUCAGUUUGUGAGAUACAGCCGUCUUAAGCAGUUUGCUUUACGGGUAAGCCAAACGAGGAUAGAGAUUUAUUUUUUUUGGGGCAAAUGUCUCUUAUGCUCUGUGUCCCCUUUCUGGCAGGCGCUUGCUAGCACACUCGACGAGGCAGAGAUUUCUGACCUCAGAGAUCAGUUUGAUGCAAUUGAUGUAGAUAAAAACGGUGUCAUUAGUCUUGAGGAAAUGAGACAGGCAAGUGAACUUUAUGACAAAAUUGCUUUUGAGAACAAAUACUAGUUAUAUGCCUAUGCAUGAUUCAGAGUCUUUUGUCUACAGGCACUUGCCAAAGACCUUCCUUGGAAACUGAAGGAUUCACGAGUUGCUGAGAUCCUUCAAGCGGUAGUUACAGUUUUUCUUAUUUUUUCUUCAUUUUCCAUUGCAAUUGCAUCUGUGGGGGUUAUAUCAUUAUCUGAAAAUCUUUGGUGGACACAGAUUGAUAGCAACACUGAUGGGUUAGUGGACUUCACAGAGUUUGUAGCAGCAGCUCUACAUGUUCAUCAGCUGGAAGAACAUGAUUCAGAGAAAUGGCAGUUAAGAUCAAGAGCAGCUUUUGAGAAAUUCGACAUUGACAAAGAUGGGUACAUCACGCCCGAGGAGCUUCGAAUGGUAAGCUUUAACUUCCUUUUGUGUUGUCCUUUGUGGAGUAGAUGAUGGAACAAGAAAAAAGAAAAAUGAAGAGUGUAUAUUUGUUUUCGUGAAUUUUAAUCAGCAUACGGGAUUAAGAGGCUCAAUAGAUCCACUUCUGGAUGAAGCAGACAUAGACAGAGACGGGAAGAUAAGCCUGCAUGAGUUCAGGAGACUUCUAAGAACAGCGAGCAUAAGUUCGCAGAGAGUUAUUAGCCCUGCAGGCCACAGGAAUCCUCGGUAGUUUUAAAUGGUAUUUUUAAGUAGAAGAAGAAGAAGAAGAAGAGGAGACAGGGCAGUGUGAUUUGUUGUUGGGAUGUAAUAUUGUCUUUAUAUGUAAUGUUGGCUGUACAAUAAGUGGGGGGGUUUUGGGAGAGGUUCCAGUAGUGCUAACUGAGUGAAGCAGCAAAACCAGAGAAAUGGUAUUGGCCUCUUGGGUGAUUCCUUGAAAAACAUCAGGAGCAUUCUUUUGGGUCAUCACCAGGUGGAGGAAGUUAUGGAAGGCCACGUGGCAUACACUGAGUGGACCAGAUCCAAUUUUAAUGACAAAAAGUAAGAAUUUGUUUUUUGUCAACCAAAGAAAGAAAGAUAGAUUCCAGCUGUAACUUGAUUCUCUUGUAAUAUUAUUGUGAGUGUGACCAAACGAACACACCAUACAGACUUUUUCUAUUAUUUUCCAUGAUCCUCCAGCCAGGAUCGGAGUGGAUCUCUCUCUAUUUUUGAUGAUUAAUAUAAUAUUACAAACUCAGUGAUAAAAAAAAAAAAAUAUUACAAACUUUUCCUCUAAGAAUAUUUAUUCAACAACGAAAUUAUAUUGGUAAAAUACACCAAAAAACUCUAGAGCCAAUAAAAUAUUUGUUCGGUUGCUAAGCUCUCUACUGUUCAUAUUAUACUAAAACUAGCUGCAACUAAGGGUUGGUUAGUUAAUCAAAUGGAUGUUCACAACGCACAAAGCUUCCGCAAAUCAUUGUAUCCUUACGACAAGCACCAAAAUCUUGGUAUGCCAAGCUUACAUCGGCCCUCAAACAAUUUGGAUUUUCGCAUGACUGUGGAUCAAUUUUAUUCUCCAAAGUUCUUGGGUCUAUUUGUCUUCAGUCUUCUUAUCUUAAUAUAUGUCGAUAACUUUGUUAUAGCUUGCAACGCCAUUAAUACAAGACUUUAAAGACUAUAUAUAACGUUACUUUUGUAUGAAAGACCUUGAAAAAUUAAAAUAUUUUCUUACUAUAGAAGUGGUGCAGAACAAAUUUUACUACUGAACAUGCAACUUCCAAGAAUUAGCUAGCAGACAUCUUCAGUAAAGCUCUUCCUCGUCCACCUUUUGAAGAUCUAUUAUCCAAUUUGGAUGUUUGAAAUCUCACACUUCCAAUUUGAGGAGACUAAUAAGUUAACUACUAGAUUACAUAGGAUAAUUCCUAUUACUCUUAAGAUAAUGAUGUAACUACUCAAAGUCCUUAACUGAUCAGGAUUUCAUUGUUGUACAUAUACCGGCUAUUGCCAUAGAGAUCAGCAACACAAACUAUUCAUUCAACACUCAUUCUAUUUCACAUUGCAUGUUUCAGAUUGAUUAACAAUUUGAAUGGAGUUAUAAUAUGUAAACAAAAAUCAUUGUUAAUUUUAUUUAUGAGAGUUUGUAACUUACUCUGCUUUUUUGUUUAGGUAAUUUCACUGAUCUUGGUUGUCGUCUUCGUCUUCUUCGUAAGCAUCUGCGAAAGUAAGUUUGUAAAUUGUUAAAUAGCUGGCAGUGUAGUUUGUAUUUGUUUAGCUGGCUCAAUGUAUGUCUCGUUGAGUUUUAGUUGAGUUGAUUGGUUUGGUAUAUUUAUUUUGAAGUUUAUUUGUAAGAUUAGACAAAAAGAGAGGUGAUCAUUAAUGAUUCGUCUUUUUUGAGAUUCUAGUUUUUGGUGUUUUGAUUGUUUCGGUUAUUGUGGUUUCUUUUAAGCUGUAAAAUAAAGAUUUGUGUAAAAUUAGAUUGAUAAGUAAGAGAGAUAAAUAGACGACCACAAAUCUUGGGUAGAAAAUAUUUUUGAUUAUUGAUGUUAGCACAAUAUAUACACUAAUAAAAAGAGAAUUAUGUGUUGAUUGUUUCUUACGUAUCAAUGAGGAGACAGAUAAAGACUCGAGUUGUUUCUUUGGUGAGGUCAGAGCCCUGGACUAAACAGAUUUUUCCAACCACAUCUGCGAGUUUAAAUAUCAGUUGUGAUACUGGAACAUAAUAUAAACUCAGAUGCAAUAUGAUAAUAUACCCGGAAGUUCUAGGUUUGUGUUCACAAUCACUUGGAGAUUGUCGAACAGUCUGAUCUUGACUGGAGAUUGAUCUCAGGAGCACACGUGAUGAAACAAUAAUAGUUAGUGAGAUGAAACGAAUGAGGAAUGGAUGAUCAGUUAUCUUGUAGAUGCUUGAGCACCUAGCACCGUUAAAACGAUCGAUGUUCAAAAUGGAACCUACUUUCAAAGAUGGCCUGUAAUGAUUAGCACGUCCGACGGGAGUAAACCCAUGAAUCACGGAAUCUGCAAAUAAUAUUAUUCAACAAAGAAUUAGGAAAUAAAUUAAAGCAAUUAUGUUAAAUAAGUGUGAUAGAUCGAAGAUUAACUUACCCUUUCAUCAAGGAAGAAAAUUGUGAUUUCCACAAACUCCCUAUCUUUCUUGAAGUUCAGAGAAUCCCAGAAGCGUAGGAAGCCAAAGGUUAUGCUCUGACUACUACGACCAAGACGGAGAGACUCGAAGGUUGAGUGACGGACGCCAGGACGCCGGUUUGAGGAACUGGAGAGGCAGAGAGAAACAUUUUCUAGAAGAUGGUUAAAGCUAAGAGGAAUCAAUGAGUUUUGUGGAAAUGCAGAUUGAGUUCAUCAAAGAUGAGAAUCACAUAUAUAUAGGAUUUACAGAGGGGCUACAAAUCAGGAACAUUUAUGAUCAAACGAUUUAAGAUGGAGACAUGAAGAGUUCACCGGUGAAAAAAUAGAUUACAGACAGAUACACGGCGCAACUCUGUAGCUCAAACUUGUUUGAGACAAUGAUGAAAAGAACUCAAACUCAUGUUAAACGACAACAGUUUACAAUAUGGGAAAACUAUAAAUGUUGCAAACCUGAGUUUUUUUCAUAUAACGUUAUGAAUCUCAUUUAAAAAUGAAACCCAUAAUAUACUUGUAGGUCCGACCUUCAGAGGAAGCCGAAGAAGUAAAGGCUUUCGACUUUUAUAAAUAUAUAUUAGGUUCGACCAUCAAUGUACAAAGUAUCAUUUAGCUUAGUGGUAUAAAUUAUAUUUCAAUAAACCGGGUUCGAACCAUGGGCUUGACACUUUUUCACACUUCUUAAAAGUGGCAACCACAAAACGCUGACGUGGCGCGCCGAGGAUCGAUCAAAAACUCAACUAUUAUAAUAUAGAUUUAAUCGACACCACCACCAAUCCAUGAGUUAUUGGGAAACGGUUGUGCGUUGGCGUGUCACGUUAAAGUGAUUUACCGUCACCCGUUUUGAGAAAAAUAUGAUCAUUUGUUGUCAAGUUCCUCUCGCUCCCAAAACACAACUGUAUGACUCUGAUUAAGAACAACUCAUUAGAGCUAAUGAAAAUAUAAAACGUAUACGCAUUAGAUAAGAAAUAAUAUAUCAUAAGAUUAGUAGAAUUCAACCAAAAUAGAUAAAUUGUGGUUUAGACUUGUUUGAAUGGAAAAUUUUGUUUGAAAUGACUAAGUCAACUUGUCAGACGAAAAGUAAUCAGCAUAAAAUUAAAAGUUGUUUACUUAUGAGACAUAAUAGCUUAUAUAUAUAUAUAUAUAUAUAUAGUUGUAAAAAUCUUGGUUUUAAUCAGAGUCGGGAUUUUGGAGAAAGCGACUGGGAUGGAGUACAGGCUGGGCUGGGUGUCUAUAUAAACUAUAUAGAGUUGGUUAGAAUCUAAUAAAUGUGUGCAUAAUAGGUGACAAUAAUCAUCUCUAAUAAUAAUGCAAAAUGAUACUUCGGGGUGUGUGGUGUGGUGUGUUAAAAGUUCGAAGUAUUUCUCUUCUAAUCACUCGAGGCUUUCACACCAUCGUAAACAAAAUCAACCCACCCCUUUUGCUUUAUCAAUCAAAUCUUUUGUUUACUGUCCUGUAAAUAAAUAAAUGGGCAGAGUGUAUUCUACUUACUACUAUUAUAGUAAAAGUUAAAAGUAGAAGGAACAUAGAGGAGGGACCAAGGGGGGAGGAAAGUGGAGGGGAGAUUUCGUUUCAUGAUUCACUCGCUCUUUGGGUUUGACCAACUCAACACUCUUCUCCUUCCUCUCUUCUUCUUUUUUGUUUGUUUAUUAAAUAUUCAUCCACCAUCCCACUCUCUCUCAAUUCCACAUCCAUGCUCUCAUUGGAAUCGCUCUCUCUCGGAUCUUUAGCAUAAUAAGCCAAUGGGUGUGUGCUUCUCCGCCAUUAGAGUCACCGGUGCCAGCAGUAGUAGACAGACCAACAACAACAACAACAAGGCUCAUAAAAAAGGAUGUAAGAAACCUCCAGAGAAUAAGCCCUCUACCACCACCACCACCACCACCAACGCGAAGCGGAGAGCCACCGGGUCCGUCCCUUGCGGCAAGCGUACCGAUUUUGGAUACGCCAAAGACUUCCACGAGCAGUAUACCAUCGGGAAGUUGCUGGGUCAUGGUCAAUUCGGGUAUACCUACGUUGCCAUCGACAAGUCCAAUGGCGAUCGUGUCGCCGUCAAGAGGCUCGAUAAGAGUAAGGUAACUCUAUUACUGAUUCCCUAUCCAAAUUAAUAGGGAUUCAUUGUUUUGAUUUUAUUUCCACUACUAUAUACUAUUCAGUAGAUUCUAUUUUUUUGGGAUCUAAUUUAAUUUAUAAUUUUUGAAAAUCACUGCUCAAUUUCGGAUUGAUUCUCUUUUUGUAACGAACUUGGUCACAGAUGGUUCUUCCAAUAGCGGUUGAGGACGUGAAGCGGGAGGUUGAGAUACUUAAAGCUCUUUCAGGGCACGAGAACGUUGUACAGUUUUACAAUGCCUUUGACGAUGACGACUACGUCUACAUUGUUAUGGAGUGAGCCUUCCCUUCCCUUCCCUUUGUUUUCUUUUUAUUUUAUUUUUUUAUUUGUUCUAAUCCAUCAUCACUCUCUCUCUUUAGGUUGUGCGAGGGAGGCGAGUUGCUGGAUCGGAUUUUAUCCAAGUUUGUUACCAUCUCUCUGAGGAAAUAAUCUCUUCUUCUCCCUAUUGAAUUGACUGACACACCUUUUCUUUUAGGAAAGAUAGUCGUUACUCCGAGAAAGAUGCAGCCGUUGUCGUCAGACAGAUGCUCAAAGUCGCUGGAGAAUGUCAUCUCCACGGUCUUGUUCAUAGAGAUAUGAAACCUGAGGUCUUUUUAUUAUUUUUUCCUUUAACCUCUUAACUUUAUUGAUAUCAUCAAAUCAAUGUAACUGAUUACUUGAGACAUAAAUUACAACAAACAUGUCGUUAAGAAGAACAUUAAAUAGAGGUAGCAAUAACACGAUGAUUUAGUAGGAUAGACUGACUCGCUAGCGUUUCUCAUCUUCGUUCUCAGGCUCGGCUCAGCUACUUCCACUAAUUUUGACCCUUCUCUUUUCCCUCUUUCAGAAUUUUUUGUUUAAAUCAACUCAACUCGAGUCGCCUCUGAAGGCUACAGAUUUUGGUUUAUCCGAUUUUAUCAAACCAGGUUAGUACAAAGUCCACCACACUAAACUAAGUGGUUGAUUUUGUGUAGAUUAACAACUCAAAAAAAAAAAAACAUUUCAGGGAAAAGGUUUCAUGACAUUGUUGGCAGCGCCUAUUAUGUUGCUCCCGAAGUACUUAAGCGCAGAUCAGGCCCUGAAUCUGAUGUCUGGAGCAUUGGUGUUAUCACCUAUAUUUUACUCUGUGGAAGGCGCCCUUUCUGGGAUAGGACUGAGGACGGUAUUUUUAAGGAGGUCUUAAGGAACAAACCUGACUUCCGCCGCAAACCAUGGUCAACUAUAAGUGACAGCGCGAAAGAUUUUGUUAAAAAGUUACUUGUCAAAGACCCUCGAGCACGGCUAACUGCUGCUCAAGCCCUUUGUAUGUCUUGUCCUUGCUUUUUUUUUUGUACG